rnacentral:tRNA from 1 species
UCCCUCAUAGCUCAGUUGGUAGAGAAUCUGCCUGCAAUGCAGGAAACCUGGGUUUGAUCCCUGUGUUGGGA